AUGCAUCUCCGGGACGCACAGAUGAGAUGGAACUGUCCCACGCAUGUUCUCUGGGGCAGAAACGGCGGCAGAGCCUGCCGAGGCCACUCUUGCCAGCUGGCCAGGGCACAGCGUCUGACCCAGGAGGCUGUGACCUCGCUGCCCCAGGCCUGGCAUGGUCUGUGGACAGUGGCCUGUCCCACCAGCCACCAGGAACCUCCCUUCAGUGCCCACCCCAUCCACCUCGCCAAGACUGAUCUAGAAAUUAUUUAUAGAUCCGAACUCCACAGAAACCAUUGUGUCUGCUGUUGCCAUGGCAAUGGGGAUGUGGCAGGAGCGCCAGGCUCUCAGGCUUUCCAGGGCCUGUGGAGGCCGGCAAGGGCGGUCGAUUUCUACCAGGAGCCCCUGACUCACACCCGCCGUCAGAGACCCCCGGGAGCGAAGAAGACAGGCUUCCCACCCUUUUCCAGCAGGGCUGGCUGCAUCCAGGAAGACAGCGCUGCUGACGCUUUCACACAGAGCCCUCAUGAGGAAGCCCCUGCAGGGAGAACGCUCAGAGAUGGAAAGUCACUGCCCAAGGCCACACAGCUGAGACCUAAACCCUGA
rnacentral:lncRNA from 1 species